GAUCCUGGUGAUGACAGAUGACAUUGUCAGCCAAUCCCCAGAAGGGAAUGAGGACAUGUCCUGCAAUUCUGAGUGGAUU
ensembl:snoRNA SNORD96 Small nucleolar RNA SNORD96 family